AACGAACGCUGGCGGCAUGCCUAACACAUGCAAGUCGAACGAGACCUUCGGGUCUAGUGGCGCACGGGUGCGUAACGCGUGGGAACCUGCCCUUAGGUUCGGAAUAACUCCCCGAAAGGGGUGCUAAUACCGGAUAAUGUCUUCGGACCAAAGAUUUAUUGCCUUUGGAUGGACCCGCGUUGGAUUAGCUAGUUGGUAGGGUAAAAGCCUACCAAGGCGACGAUCCAUAGCUGGUCUGAGAGGAUGAUCAGCCACACUGGGACUGAGACACGGCCCAGACUCCUACGGGAGGCAGCAGUGGGGGAUAUUGGAAAAUGGGCGAAGGCCUGAUCCAGCAAUGCCGCGUGAGUGAUGAAGGCCUUAGGGUUGUAAAGCUCUUUUACCCGGGAUGAUAAUGACAGUACCGGAAGAAUAAGCUCCGGCUAACUCCGUG
rnacentral:rRNA from 1 species